rnacentral:rRNA from 1 species
CCUACNGGUUGCAGCAGUGGGGAAUAUUGCACAAUGGGCGCAAGCCUGAUGCAGCCAUGCCGCGUGUAUGAAGAAGGCCUUCGGGUUGUAAAGUACUUUCAGCGGGGANGAAGGUGUUGUGNUUAAUAACCGCAGCAAUUGACGUUACCCGCAGAAGAAGCACCGGCUAACUCCGUGCCAGCAGCCGCGGUAAUACGGAGGGUGCAAGCGUUAAUCGGAAAUACUGAGCGUAAAGCGCACGCAGGCGGUCUGUCAAGUCGGAUGUGAAAUCCCCGGGCUCAACCUGGGAACUGCAUUCGAAACUGGCAGGCUAGAGUCUUGUAGAGGGGGGUAGAAUUCCAGGUGUAGCGGUGAAAUGCGUAGAGAUCUGGAGGAAUACCGGUGGCGAAGGCGGCCCCCUGGACAAAGACUGACGCUCAGGUGCGAAAGCGUGGGGAGCAAACAGGAUUAGAUACCCCAGUAGUC